AUACGGAGGAUCCGAGCGUUAUCCGGAUUUAUUGGGUUUAAAGGGAGCGUAGGCGGACGCUUAAGUCAGUUGUGAAAGUUUGCGGCUCAACCGUAAAAUUGCAGUUGAUACUGGGUGUCUUGAGUACAGUAGAGGCAGGCGGAAUUCUUGGUGUAGCGGUGAAAUGCUUAGAUAUCAAGAAGAACUCCGAUUGCGAAGGCAGCCUGCUGGACUGUAACUGACGCUGAUGCUCGAAAGUGUGGGUAUCAAACAGGAUUAGAUACCCUGGUAGUCCACACAGUAAACGAUGAGUACUCGCUGUUUGCGAUAUACAGUAGGCGGCCAAGCGAAAGCGUUAAGUAUUCCACCUGGGAGUACGCCGGCAACGGUGAAACUCAAAUGAAUUGACGGGG
rnacentral:rRNA from 1 species